rnacentral:rRNA from 1 species
AUUGAACGCUGGCGGCAGGCCUAACACAUGCAAGUCGAACGAGUGGCGGACGGGUGAGUAAUGUCUGGGAAACUGCCUGAUGGAGGGGGAUAACUACUGGAAACGGUAGCUAAUACCGCAUACCAUCGGAUGUGCCCAGAUGGGCUUAGCUAGUAGGUGGGGUAACGGCUGACCUAGGCGACGAUCCCUAGCUGGUCUGAGAGGCUAACCAGCCACAAUGGAACUGAUACACGGUCCAGACUGAUACGGGAGGUAGCAGUGGGGAAUAUUGCACAAUGGGCGCAAGCCUGAUGCAGCCAUGCGGCGUGGAUGAAGAAGGCCUUCGGGUUGUAAAGUACUUUCAGCGGGGAGGCGUUACCCGCAGAAGAAGCACCGGCUAACGCCGUGCCAGCAGCCGCGGUAAUAC